GGUGCGAGCGUUGUCCGGAAUUAUUGGGCGUAAAGGGCUCGUAGGCGGUUUGUCGCGUCGGGAGUGAAAACCUCGGGCUUAACUCGGGGCUUGCUUUCGAUACGGGCAGACUAGAGGUAUGCAGGGGAGAACGGAAUUCCUGGUGUAGCGGUGAAAUGCGCAGAUAUCAGGAGGAACACCGGUGGCGAAGGCGGUUCUCUGGGCAUGAUCUGACGCUGAGGAGCGAAAGUGUGGGGAGCGAACAGG
rnacentral:rRNA from 1 species